ACAAUCACUUUCACUUUUAUUGGUUAUCUUUAUCGAGUCACUGGGCCGAAUAUUGGUGAUCUGGGAAAAAAACGAAGGACGAAUUGUUAAUAAUGUUGAAGGUCUAUCACGAUUGUUUUCAGCUUAUUACUACUGUCAUCGAGCUUUCGGUCAAGUUGAAUGUCGAAUAUGAAUCCAAGGAAAAUCAUAUGAAAAGGCUUAGAUUGAGAGUCGAAAUGAUCUUCGACUCUCGAUCGAAUCGAAAAGCGGCAAAAUCUGAUCUCAUCUACUACAUGUUAACCAAAUACUGGGAUUGGGUCUCGAUAGCAGAUAAAUAUGAUGCCAAAAUCACUUUUACGACAAUUGGUCUGUUUUUAUUUCGGUUUCACGAUUGUUUGUUGAAAGUAAAGGUAAUUUCUUGGCGGUUGGAUUGGAUCUAAAUUCAAUUGAACAAAUUCAAGAUGAAUUAACAACACUCAUGAUUGAAUUACGACCUGCUAUGACCUCAUCUCUCUCUCUCUCUCUCUCUCUCUUGUCUAUGCAUUUGAUUUACACAAUAUGGUUCUUAUGUCAGCUUUAGAUUGUAAUGAUGGUAAUGUUUACAAGCGUCUAUUUGAUUUGGCAAAAAAGCUCAUCUCAAUCAAGUUGAUCCAAACCCAUCGUUCAUCAAAUACAUCAAAGACUCAAACUGAACCAAAUUAAAACUUUAUUUAUUAUUAAAAACUUUAACUUUUUUAAACAAUUAAUUUCCAUUAAAAACUCUCUUGUUUAUCCUUAAUUGCUAUUGACAAAACUUAAAGGAAAUCAUGAUAACAUGAAGAAAAACGGGAAAAUAAAAAGUCGUUAAUUGUAUAACAAUCAUUUUCUGAUUGAUUAAAUUAAAAAUUUGAGAAGAAAAUUUCAAUUCAGUUGACAA